CGUCUGUGUCAUUCAUCACAGUGCACUCCAGUGGUGCUCCGGCAGGUGUUUCGGUUGAGCGGGCCUUUUGUAACAGGGACACGCUGGAUGGCUUCCACCUAUCCCAUGCACAAGUCCUCAAAGCAGGUGGCGGCGUCAUCUUCAUGCCGUUGCCUCCACCGUAUGCCUCUUCCUGCACGAUUUCCAGCCCUUCCACAACCACCCCCGGGUCAGUCCAGCGGGAUGCCCUGGGAGGGCCUGCCAGGCGGGGGAUUCUCUACGACAAGGGCCUUUGCCUGGGCCACACCCCCACAGACGAGGAGAUCUCUCAGCUCUGGCAUGGAGUCCGCAGAGCCUUGACCACCAAGGAGGAUGACCAGAGAAACUCCCCAUACGAUAAUUUGUGUGCCUUGCCUCAAGCCCACGCCAACCUAUCCCACACCACCACCAGCGGACACAGGCACAGCUGUGGAGUCAAAGCUGUUACCGGGACAGAAGGCUUCUUCGUCUCCUCAUACAAUGGCAGAGGCCUGGUGAGGAAGCCAACCCAGGAGAACUGUGGGCCUAGGAGGAGAGGAGCACCUGGUUCAGGGAACAGAAGGCUUCCUCUUCCAUCCCAGUCACAGGCUUUAGGGCUGAUGACAGCUUUGCAGACCAAAAAUGACCUGACAUAUCAAGGUGAAGAUUCAGAAUAUGCUGCAGAGGCAGACAGUGAGAUGGCGGUUGCCGUAGAGACCAUCCAGACACCAAGGCCUCCCCUUGGUCUUCCACAGCAACGUAGCCAUGCCCAGGGGCAGUGGUGCCCACAACAGGGCCAGAACCAGGGCCUGACCACCAUAUCCCUGGAGGAACAAAAGGUUCUGCUCUCCUUGGAUCGACUCAACCAUCAGCUGCAGUAUGUGCAAGAGUAUACUGGAGGCAACGCCGCUGGUAAAGCCGUCCUACAAGGCAGCUCACCCUUUGCCGGGGGAGUGUCAGCUGCUGGCCCCCGAAGGCCCCCCAACGUCUCCGCUUACAACCGUUCCAGAACACAGAGAAGAUUCUGACACAACGUUUCAAUAUGGCCACCUGAAUGGGACCGUCUCUGCGUUAUUACUGUACCUGCUAAGAGAGCACUUUAUACAAGCCCUCCCCACGGCUCCACACCACCCUUGACCUUCUCCACUGGAUAAAGGCUUCCAAGUCCUUUAUCAAAUUAACGUUAUGAUGACUUUUUGAUGCAUUGUAUAUUCUGUCAUAUAGUCAGGCUUCAGUUUUUU
ensembl:lncRNA